rnacentral:misc_RNA from 1 species
UCGUACCACGGAGGCGCUUGGGUUGUCGCUGACCUUUCCGAAGGCUCGUGCACGCUCGAGUGCUUUCAAUCCACUUCACCCCUUGUGCAUCACCGCGUGGGGUCUCUCUUUCGGGAGGCUCGCGUUUUCACACAAACUUGAAGUAGUGUAGAAUGUCCUUCUUUGCAAUAACAUGCAAUCAAUA